rnacentral:rRNA from 1 species
AACGAACGCUGGCGGCAUGCCUAACACAUGCAAGUCGAACGAGAUCUUCGGGUCUAGUGGCGCACGGGUGCGUAACGCGUGGGAAUUUGCCUCGGGGUAUGGAAUAACUCAGGGAAACUUGAGCUAAUACCAUAUAAUGUCUUCGGACCAAAGAUUUAUCGCCCUGAGAUAAGCCCGCGUAGGAUUAGCUAGUUGGUGGGGUAAAGGCUCACCAAGGCGACGAUCAGUAGCUGGUCUGAGAGGACGACCAGCCACACUGGAACUGAGACACGGUCCAGACUCCUACGGGAGGCAGCAGUGGGGAAUAUUGGACAAUGGGCGAAAGCCUGAUCCAGCCAUGCCGCGUGUGUGAAGAAGGUCUUCGGAUUGUAAAGCUCUUUUACUCGGGACGAUAAUGACGGUACCGAGAGAAUAAGCCCCGGCCUAACUCCGUGCCAGCAGCCGCGGUAAAGUGACUACUG